CAGUGGGGAAUAUUGCACAAUGGGCGCAAGCCUGAUGCAGCCAUGCCGCGUGUGUGAAGAAGGCCUUCGGGUUGUAAAGCACUUUCAGUUGUGAGGAAGGUGGUGUCGUUAAUAGCGGCAUCAUUUGACGUUAGCAACAGAAGAAGCACCGGCUAACUCCGUGCCAGCAGCCGCGGUAAUACGGAGGGUGCGAGCGUUAAUCGGAAUUACUGGGCGUAAAGCGCAUGCAGGUGGUUUGUUAAGUCAGAUGUGAAAGCCCGGGGCUCAACCUCGGAACUGCAUUUGAAACUGGCAGACUAGAGUACUGUAGAGGGGGGUAGAAUUUCAGGUGUAGCGGUGAAAUGCGUAGAGAUCUGAAGGAAUACCGGUGGCGAAGGCGGCCCCCUGGACAGAUACUGACACUCAGAUGCGAAAGCGUGGGGAGCAAACAGGAUUAGAUACCCUGGUAGUCCACGCUGUAAACGAUGUCUACUUGGAGGUUGUGGCCUUGAGCCGUGGCUUUCGGAGCUAACGCGUUAAGUAGA
rnacentral:rRNA from 1 species